rnacentral:rRNA from 1 species
AUUGAACGCUGGCGGCAUGCUUUACACAUGCAAGUCGAACGGUAACAGGGUGCUUGCACCGCUGACGAGUGGCGAACGGGUGAGUAAUGCGUCGGAACGUGCCGAGUAGUGGGGGAUAACGCAGCGAAAGUUGUGCUAAUACCGCAUACGUACUGAGGUAGAAAGUGGGGGACCUUCGGGCCUCACGCUAUUCGAGCGGCCGACGUCUGAUUAGCUAGUAGGUGAGGUAAAGGCUCACCUAGGCGACGAUCAGUAGCGGGUCUGAGAGGAUGAUCCGCCACACUGGGACGGAGACACGGCCCAGACUCCUGCGGGGGGCAGCAGUGGGGAAUUUUGGACAAUGGGCGAAAGCCUGAUCCAGCCAUGCCGCGUGUCUGAAGAAGGCCUUCGGGUUGUAAAGGACUUUUGUCGGGGAGGAAAUCCCCAGCGUUAAUACCGCUGGGGGAUGACGGUACCUGAAGAAUAAGCACCGGCUAACUACGUGCCAGCCGCCGCCGUAAGAC